AUGAUCAUAUGGUUUUUCUUCUUCAAUUUGUUAAUAUGGUGUAUCACAUUGAUUGAUUUGUGUAUAUUGAAGAAUCCUUGCAUCCCUGGGAUAAAUCCCACUUGAUCAUGGUGUAUGAUCCUUUUAAUAUGUUGUUGGUUUCAGUUUGCUAGUAUUUUGUUGAGGAUUUUUGCAUCUGUAUUCAUCAGUGAUAUUGGUCUGUAAUUUUCUUUUUUUGUAGUAUCUUUGUCUGGUUUUGGUAUCAGGGUGAUGGUGACCUCAUAGAAUGAGUUUGGGAGUGUUCCUUCCUCUGCAAUUUUUUGGAAGAGUUUGAGAAGGAUGGGUGUUAGCUCUUCUCUAAAUGUUUGUUAGAAUUGACCUGUGAAGCCAUCUGGUCCUGAACUUUCAUUUGUUGGAAGAUUUUUAAUCACAGUUUCAAUUUCAUUACUUGUGAUUGGUCUGUUCAUUUUUUCUAUUUCUUCCUGGUUCAGUCUUGGAAGGUUAUACCUUUCUAAGAAUUUGUCCAUUUUAUUGGCUUAGAGUUGCUUGUAGUAGUCUCUUAUGAUGCUUUGUAUUUCUGAGGUGUCUGCUGUAACUUCUCCUUUUUCAUUUCUAAUUUUAUUGAUUUGAGUCCUCUCCCUCUUUUUCUUGAUGAGUCUGGCUAAAGAUUUAUCAAUUUUGUUUAUCUUCUCAAAGAACCAGCUCCUAGUUUUAUUGAUCUUUGCAAUUGUUUUGUUUCUAUUUCAUUUAUUUCUGCUCUGAUCCUUAUGAGUUCUUUCCUUCUACUAAAUUUGGGUUUUGUUUGUUCUUCUUUCUCUAGUCCCUUUAGGUGUAAGGUUAGAUUGUUUAUUUGAGAUUUUUCUUAUUUCUUGAAGUAGGCUUGUAUUGCUAUAAACUUCCCUCUUAGAACUGCUUUUGCUCCAUCUCAUAGGUUUUGGAUCAUUGUGUUUUCGUUGUAAUUUGUCUCUAGGUAUUUUUUGAUUUCCUCUUUGAUUUCUUCAAUGAUCUCUUGGUUAUUUAGUAUUGUUUAGCCUCACAUGUUUGUGUUUUUUACGUUUUUUUCCCUGUAAUUGAUUUCUAAUCUCAUAGUGUUGUGGUCAGAAAAGAUGUUUGAUAUGAUUUCAAUUUUCUUAAAUUUACUGAGGCUUGAUUUGUGACCCAAGAUGUGAUCUAUCUUGGAGAAUGUUCCGUGUGCACUUGAGAAGAAAGUGUAAUCUGCUGUUUUUGAUUGGAAUGUCCUAUAAAUAUCAAUUAAAUGUAUCUGGUCUAUGUGUCAUUGAAAGCUUGUGUUUCCUUAUUAAUUUUCUGUCUGGAUGAUCUGUCCAUUGGUGUAAGUGAGAUGUUAAAGUCCCCCACUAUUAUUGUGUUACUGUCGAUUUCCUCUUUUAUAGCUGUUAGCAGUUGCCUCAUAUAUUGAGGUGCUUCUAUGUUGGGUGCAAAUAUAUUUAUAAUUGUCAUAUCUUCUUGGAUUGAUCCCUUGAUCAUUAUGUGGUGUCCUUCCUUGUCUCUUGUAACAUUCUUUAUUUUAAAGUCUAUUUUAUCUGAUAUGAGUAUUUCUACUCCAGCUUUUUUUUUUAAUGUUUAUUUUAUGUAUUUAUUUUUGUCUGCGUUGGGUCUUUAUUGCUGCACACGGGCCCUCUCUAAUUGCAGUGAGCAGAGGCUGCUCUUCGUUGUGGUGUGCGGGCUUCUCAUUGCAGUGGCCUCUCUUGUUGCGGAACACAGGCUCUAGGCACGCGGGCUUCAGUAGUUGUGGCUUGCGGGCUUCAGUAGUUGUGGCAUGCGGGCUCAGUAGUUGUGGCUCACGGGCUUAGUUGCUCCAUGGCAUGUGGGAUCCUCCCGGACCAGGGCUUGAACCCAUGUCCCCUGCAUUGGCAGGCGGACUCUCAACCACUGCGCCACCAGGGAAGCUGUCCAGCUUUCUUUUGAUUUCCAUUUGUAUGGAAUAUCUUUUUUCAUCCCCUCACGUUCAGUCUGUAUGUGUCCCUAGGUCUGAAGUGGGUCUCUUGUAGACAGCAUAUAUAUAGGUAUUGUUUUUGUAUCCAUUCAGCGAGCCUGUGUCUUUUUGUUGGAGCAUUUAAUCCACUCACGUUUAAGGUAAUUAUCGAUAUGUAUGUUCCUAUUACGAUUUUCUUAAUUGUUUUGGGUUUGUUUGUGUAGGUCCUUUUCUUCUCUUGUGUUUCCCACUUAGAGAAGUUCCUUUAGCAUUUGUUGUAGAACUGGUUUGGUGGUGCUGAAUUCUCUUAACUUUUGCUUGUCUGUAAAGCUUUUGAUUUCUCCGUUGAAUCUGAAUGAGACCCUUGCCAGGUAGAGUAAUCUUGGUUGUAGGUUCUUCCCUUUCAUCACUUUAAAUAUAUCAUGCCAAUCCUUUCUGGCUUGUAGAGUUUCUGCUGAGAAAUCAGCUGUUAAUCUUAUGGGAGUUCCCUUGUAUAUUAUUUGUCAUUUUUCCCUUGUUGCUUUCAAUAAUUUUUCUUUGUCUUUAAUUUUUGUCAAUUUGAUUACUAUAUGUCUUGGCAUGUUUCUCCUUGGGUCUAUCCUGCCUGGGACUCUCUGCACUCCUGGACUUGGGUGGCUAUUUCCUUUCCCAUGUUAGGGAAGUUUUCACUAUAGUCUCUUCAAAUAUUUUUUCGGGUCCUUUCUCUCUCUCUUCUCCUUCUGGGACCCCUAUAAUGCGAAUGUUGUUGUGUUUAAUGUUGUCCCAGAGGUCUCUUAGGCUGUCUUCAUUUCUUUUCAUUCUUUUUUCUUUAUCCUGUUCUGCGGCAGUGAAUUCCACCAUUCUGUCUUCCAGAUCACUUAUCCAUUCUUCUGCCUCAGUUAUUCUGCUACUGAUUCCUUCUAGUGUAUUUUUCAUUUCAGUUAUUGUAUUGUUCAUCUCUGUUUGUUUGUUCUUUAAUUCUUCUAGGUCUUUGUUAAACAUUUCUUGCAUCUUCUCGAUCUUUGCCUCCAUUCUUUUUCCGAGGUCCUGGAUCAUCUUCACUAUCAUUAUUCUGAAUUCUUUUUCUGGAAGGUUGCCUGUCUCCACCUCAUUUAGUUGUUUCUCUGGGGGUUUAUCUCAUUCCUUCAUCUGGUACAAAGUCCUCUGCCUUUUCAUUUUGUCUAUCUUUCUGUGAAUGUGGUUUUCCUUCCACAGGCUGCAGAAUUGUAGUUCUUCUUGCUUCUGCUGUCUGCCCUCUGGUGGCUGAGGCUAUCUAUGAGGCUUUUGCAAGCUUCCUGAUGGGAGGGACUGGUGGUGGGUAGAGCUGGGUGUUGCUCUGGUGGGCAGGGCUCAAUAAAACUUUAAUCCGUUUGUGUGCUGAUGGGUCAGGCUGGGUUCCCUCCCUGUUGGUUGUUUGGCCUGAGGCAACUGAGCACUGGAGCCUACCCGGCUCUUUGGUUGGGCUAAUGGCAGACUCUGGGAGGGCUCAAGCCAAGGAGUACUUCCCAGAACUUCUGUUGCCAGUGUUCUUGUCCCUGUGGUAAGCCACAGCCACCCCCAGCCUCUGCAGGAGACCGUUCAACAAUAGCAGAUGUGGGGUAUCUUUUUUGGUGAGUUCCAGUGUCUUCCUGUCAAUGAUUGUUCAGCAGUUAGUUGUGAUUCCGGUGCUCUCGCAAGAGGAAGUGAGCGCACGUCCUUCUACUCCGCCAUCUUGAACCAAUCUCCAAAAGAGGGGACGUGGGUUCGAUCCCUGGUCGAGGAAGUAAGAUCCUGCAUGCUGCGAGGCAACUAAGCCUGUGCGCCACAACUACUGAGCUCGCACACUCUGGAGCCUGCGCGCCACUAGAGAGAAGCCCACGUGCCGCAACGAAGAGCCCACACACCACAAUGAAAGGUCCCACAUGCUGCAGUGAAGAUCCCUCAUGAUGCAGCUAAGACCCGACACAGCCAAAUAAAUAAAUAAAUUUUUCUAAAGUUCAAAAAAAAAGAAUAAAAAUU